CUCUCUUGUGUGGUGGUGCCCAUGAAGUGGCGGUCACAGGUUCUGGCAAGAUUUCAUGGAGAUUGCAUGGAGCGCACGAGAUCUCAUGAGAUCUCACCAGAAACCACUGGCACUGCCAAUGCUGCUUCUCCACUGGCAGUGGUGCAGGUGGGGAGCCCCUGGAGGUACCGUCUCUUGGACUUCUUCAGCCCACCUCAUGAGCAGACCGUCCCUGCUCACUUGUUCCAUUUUGUGGUUCACUUUGUGACAGGAACCCUCAGCUUUGUUUAGGAGAGCCAGUGUGGUGUAGUGGUUAAGAGCGGUAGUCUCGUAAUCUGGGGAACUGGGUUCACGUCUCCGCUCCUCCACAUGUAGCUGCUGGGUGACCUUGGGCUAGUCACACUUCCUUGAAGUCUCUCAGCCUCACUCACCUUACAGAGUGUUUGCUGUGGGGGAUGAAGGGAAAGGAGAUUGUUAGCCUCUUUGAGGCUAGUGAUAAAGCAGGAUAUCAAAUCCAAACUCUUCUCUUCUUCUUCUAGGAGGUGAAGACACACUACAACAUUGGGAGGACUUUAAAGUUGUGCUAUGUCAGUUGAACAUUCUGUCCGUUCAUGCUCUUCAGCUUCCCAGAGAAUGGUUCCCCCUCUCCUACCCACCUAUACUGUUCUGAUUCUUCUUCCAG